rnacentral:rRNA from 1 species
UACGGAGGGGACUAGCGUUGUUCGGAAUUACUGGGCGUAAAGCGCACGUAGGCGGAUUUGUAAGUCAGGGGUGAAAUCCCGGGGCUCAACCUCGGAACUGCCUUCGAUACUGGCAAUCUCGAGUCCGGAAGAGGUUGGUGGAACAGCUAGUGUAGAGGUGAAAUUCGUAGAUAUUAGCUAGAACACCAGUGGCGAAGGCGGCCAGCUGGGCCGGUACUGACGCUGAGGUGCGAAAGCGUGGGGAGCAAACAGG